rnacentral:ncRNA from 5 species
CCACCAGGAGUGGAGCCUGCGGC